UACGUAGGGGGCAAGCGUGUCCGGAUUUAUUGGGCGUAAAGAGCGUGUAGGCGGCUUUACAGGUCCGUUGUGAAAACUCGAGGCUCAACCUCGAGACGCCGGUGGAAACCGUAAGGCUAGAGUCCGGAAGAGGAGAGUGGAAUUCCUGGUGUAGCGGUGAAAUGCGCAGAUAUCAGGAGGAACACCCGUGGCGAAAGCGGCUCUCUGGGACGGUACUGACGCUGAGACGCGAAAGCGUGGGGGAGCAAACAGG
rnacentral:rRNA from 1 species